rnacentral:rRNA from 1 species
ACACCGGCGGCCCGAGUGGUGAUCGUGAUUAUUGGGUCUAAAGGGUCCGUAGCCGGUUUGGUCAGUCCUCCGGGAAAUCUGAUAGCUCAACUAUUAGGCUUUCGGGGGAUACUGCCGGACUUGGAACCGGGAGAGGUAAGAGGUACUACAGGGGUAGGAGUGAAAUCUUGUAAUCCCUGUGGGACCACCUGUGGCGAAGGCGUCUAACCAGAACGGGUUCGACGGUGAGGGACGAAGGCUGGGGGCACGAACCGGAUUAGAUCCCCGGGUAGCCCCAGCCGUAAACGAUGCUCGCUAGGUGUCAGGCAUGGCGCGACCGUGUCUGGUGCCGCAGGGAAGCCGUGAAGCGAGCCACCUGGGAAGUACGGCCGCAAGGCUGAAACUUAAAUGAAUUGGCGGGG